UCAGAAAACAUGGAUGUGGCAUACUUUUUGAUGAUGUAGAUUUUGUUGCUGGUCUUGUAUUAUUACUAGUUCUUUCACUUGCACUCAUUAUAGUAAGAAUAGCAAAUUUUCGAGAAAACGUAAGAAUAGCAAAUUGGCUCAAACACAAAUCUUUAGCUCCAACUACUAAUUAGUUAUAAGCUUUUUUGUACAAGAUUUAAGUAUUGAAAAACUUUGUCGCAUGAUACUUCCUAUGGUAUGAUUUUGUUGCUUCCGGUAACUGACUCUCCUUUUUUAUCUUCAGGUUUGUACUUCUAAAAUGAACUUGAGUGAUAUGGUUUGGAAGAUUAUGUCUCCAGACCGAAUAAAAUCAGUCCUGUUGAUGUCGGGAAGAACCAUGAGUCAAUGACUGCAAGUUUCAUAUCAGGAAUAAUGAGAAAACAGGGAGGCGCAGUUGCUGCUUCUGCAGAUCGUCGGUGGUGACCCCCGGGCAAGUAGGAUCAAGGGGCGGCGACCAGCGAGCUGAUGUUGAGGGGAGACCAUCGUGCUACUCUACUGAGGGCCGUCGGCCAGUGAUCCUCUGCUUGGUGCGGCGUCGAGUUGCUGCCGGGGAGCAGCUGGGUGAGAUAUAGGUGACCCUAGGAAGAAGGGAAUGUACCACAAUUUCUAUCGUUGUUAUUAAUUUGUGGAAUUCUAAUUUUAACAGCCGAGGUACUAGAGCAUAUUCUAGACAUUGUUUCCGGACAAGGUUCGAAAUGUUGGUUCCACACCUGUUGGUUGCAGCACCAUGAUAACUGCAUAUAUUGAUUCCAAAUUUGGGAUCUUGUAAUUCGGGAUGCUGUGCAUUUUAAUGCAUGAUCAUGUUGGAUUUAAA